CACUGGUGAUCUCCAACCUUGGGAAGACUCGGUGCCAUCGGAGAUUUCUCACGGCAUCCCUUCAACGUCACUGCACCACUGCGAGCGUGCUGGGUGGUACUGGAUGAACAGCUGGAAGGAUGCUGUUUGCGCAAAGUAACGUCCGAAUGACAGAGAAUAACAGCAUAUUGAUUGUUCCCCGUGAGAAGGACGUAACCACCAUUCACAGUGAAAAUCGAGAUGCAAACCGCAGCAAUAAAGGUUCCAGGUUAGAGAGCAGCGUCCGUGUCAGAAGAAACAGACACAACUGACUGCCCCUCCCGGCACUCUUCACUCGUUCCUGCCAAUUUCUCAG
rnacentral:lncRNA from 1 species